CAAACUUUUGAAGCUCUAUAAAACAGUAAACAGGUCCAUUCAAAUUUAGACAAAUCAAUAUCUCUCUCAGAAACAACAAAGUAGCUGUAUUGUCAACAAUUGACAGAUUUGAGAUUCAUUGAGAGUAAGAGUUAACAAGGA